rnacentral:rRNA from 1 species
GACGAACGCUGGCGGCGUGCCUAAUACAUGCAAGUCGAGCGGACAGAUGGGAGCUUGCUCCCUGAUGUUAGCGGCGGACGGGUGAGUAACACGUGGGUAACCUGCCUGUAAGACUGGGAUAACUCCGGGAAACCGGGGCUAAUACCGGAUGCUUGUUUGAACCGCAUGGUUCAAACAUAAAAGGUGGCUUCGGCUACCACUUACAGAUGGACCCGCGGCGCAUUAGCUAGUUGGUGAGGUAACGGCUCACCAAGGCAACGAUGCGUAGCCGACCUGAGAGGGUGAUCGGCCACACUGGGACUGAGACACGGCCCAGACUCCUACGGGAGGCAGCAGUAGGGAAUCUUCCGCAAUGGACGAAAGUCUGACGGAGCAACGCCGCGUGAGUGAUGAAGGUUUUCGGAUCGUAAAGCUCUGUUGUUAGGGAAGAACAAGUGCCGUUCAAAUAGGGCGG